AUCGGACAGGGAUGGCCAUGCGCACCAUUAGCUUGUUGGGGGGUAACGGCCCACCAAGGCUACGAUGGUUAGGGGCCCUGAGAGGGGGAUCCCCCACACUGGUACUGAGACACGGACCAG
rnacentral:rRNA from 1 species